UUGUUUCACCUUGGAAGAACCUUCGUGGGUGCCCUCCUCAUGGUCGUGGUCGUCGUCGAUGAGAUCUGACUUGGCAAUUGAGGAUCCCAAGAUGCCGCCGUAGAACGUGUCCUUCAGGAAUGACAAAAUGGGCUCGAUGGCGUAUAAGGAUCGCAAAUCAUUGACCGCUUGGCGGAGGAGAUCAGCGGCAACGCCGUCGAAGGGAUUGACGGCGGUUGAACCAGAGGGGUUGGGGAUGGACCACUUAACCUGUGACAUGGCCCGUGUGAAGCCGUCGCUGUGGACGAGCUUGAUGUCGUAGCCAGCUUUCCCGAGAUACAGUAAUACGCUAGCCCGCUGACAUGAAGCCUUUGGCAUGGCAACAUAGACAACGUCUUCGCCGACUUCCGCGGCGACGUGUUGCUCCAGGAUCGACAGGUCGGGGCAAACGGCGGCCACCUCGCCAACUUCCGCCGGAGAGGCUAUGAUAAACCUCUUCUUGGCCGAACGCUCGUCGGGCUCCUCGGGAUACAUGGUCGAGCUUAGGCUGCGACAUUCUAGAGCAGGGGAUGUGGAUCUGGCGGGGAGGGACGCCGCAGGCCUCAUCUAAAAACUCAGGGGAGUGGGGCGACGGUAUGGGAAUCGCUGGGUAACCUGAAAUUUAUUAUCUAAGCUAGAAGAAACGGGCAGACCGGCAGGGGUUGGCGGCGGCCGUGAGCUAGGGUUCUUGGGGGGAGGGGCCGGGUGGGGGGACUGUGGAGGGGCGGGGGUGUUUGAGGAUACGCUGCGGCUAAUGAAAAUUUAAAACAAUAAAGAGACUAGCCAACUCACCUCCAGACUCCCCCGAUUGCAAGCUUCUUUGGCCAUUGGAUCGUGGUCAAUCUGGCCUUUGACUUCGUUUGGGCCGUUAGAUGCUCGCUGCUCUCGCUGCUGGUUUUAACCGCGUGGUAAGUUUGCAUGGCCAAUGACUGGUGGGCUCUUGUUCUGUGCCUAUUGGCUGGGUAAGCCGUUUCGAGGUGCGGGUGCGCCCUCUCCCCGCACGCCGCGUGCGCGUCGCGUCAUUUGCGGGGGGCGUGGGUAACCCUGCCCUCGAAAGCACCUCGGUCCAAUCCAAUCCCCCGCACGCCGCAACCCUCCCUCCCUCCUCGAUCUCUCUCCCUCAGCCGCCACGAACCUAGCUCCCUUUCCUACGAUCCCGCGGUCGCUGCCGCUGCUCCAUCUGACCUCCCUCGUCAGCCGCCGCCGCCGCUGCGGCUCCUCCGUCCACCGACUCUGUCCGUGCAAGCGGCCAGUUUCCUUCCGCCCGACCUUCUCCACUGUCUCCCCAGUUCAUCAUCCGUCCCUUGCUGCUCGAGGUGCUCAUCUGCCCAGGCCGCGAGGAAGCAACGUGAGGAGGAGAGACCUCGUCUCGAGAAGCCGCGGGAGGAGGGGCUCAAGCAGAGAAGAGCAGAUGCCAGCCAGGUAGUCGGCUUGGCUCGACGCCGUCCUUCGUGUCCGGGCCGCGGCAGACCCUAGCGCCGUCCUUCAGGUGUCUUCGCGGCUGCAGGUCCGCAUGUGAGCCCCCAACCAUCUCUCUCUCCCGCACUCAUUUUCCCUCUCACGUUUAGCAUUUGAGGCUGUAAAUCUAAGCACUAGCUGUUUGUAAAAAUGCUCAAGGAGAACUGCUUAGAGGAAGGCAGUAUGUUCUACAGUUUCAGUUACAUGAUUACAUACAGCUAAAGAAAAGUUUACAUGAUUCUAUAAUUAUGGUGGAGCUGCACAGGAGGGGGAGGAGGCUGGCGACAGGGAACCGGGCCGGGAGGAGGCAAGGUUUGUGCUGUCAUGUGUUUUUCUCUUUGCAUUUUUCUCCUACUGCGCAUCUGUUCAUGGCAACAAAUUUUUGGAUAAAUAAUGAGUGCCAAGAUAUGUAUGUUGACAAAUGGAUGAGAGGUUUUCAGAGAAAGAUUUGAGCCAUACAUGCGCCAGGUUCUGAGAGUCUAUGAAUGUAAUUGGAAUAUUUUCAAUUGCAAAUCAUUCCCUAAUAUUAUGGUUAAUUAGUUAUUUCUGGUUCUUGUCCACUGACACUCAUCUGGGAUGUAGUAUGAGGAUCGGGUGCGUCAGGAAGCAGCUCUGAAUAUGGUUCCCUUAGAUGAACAUAAGGAGAAUGCGCUUAUUUCACUGGCCAAGGUUUGUGUUUCUGCCUCGGCUUUCUAUUGGUUAUAAGUCUUCUUUUCGUCCUGAUGUUCUCAAUAUUUCUAGAUAACCAUGUUUUGUUGGACUUAUUGAUAAAGUAAAUUUUCGGGUACAAGUUUGGCUCCAAGGAAAGUUAUUGUAUUUACUAAUUUUUUUUUAAUUUAACACCAUGACUAUGCCUCAAUAUUACAAUUGUCGUAAUGGUGUGGAUUGCUAUAUAAAGUUCUAUGUUUGAAGGGAUGUGUUGUCAGAAAUUCUCAUACACGAUUCUUUAGUAGGAAGAGAAUUUCAGUCCUUCAAAAGUGAAGAGGAUCAUGCCUUUCUGUUGGAUUUGGUUUUUUGGUUUAAGCAAUCAUUCAGGUUAUUGAAACACUCAUGUGCCUCUUUUCUUCAGUCAUUACUAAUGUUGAGUGUUGUGUGUCUGAUAUGAGGAAAAUGGUUGAGAGUAAUUACCGGCAGGAGGAUCGCUGGGUGGUAGCUGAGUGGGAGGGUUCAGAUUAGGGAUUACGAGUAUGAAGUAGAUGUGAUAGAUUGUAACUCUUCUUGCUUGAUUAAUUCAUCUCAAGAGGUCCACUUUAUAUAUAGAGGCCUAACAAUUAAAAAACUAAUCAUCCUUACAUGCAUACAUGCAUGCGUCACUCUGGAGCCAAAAACUAAUUACGAGUAUGCAGGUUGCAGUCCCUUGCUCUACAUAUAACUCGCUAACUCUACUAAUUCAUGUAUCAGUAUAUGCAUAUAUGUAGUCCGUUCCCAGUACAUGUGUUCGGAAGACUGGACAUUUGUACUUAUUCAAAAUUUUCUUUUCAUAAAAAGUUCCUUGGAAGAGAUUGCUAAGUUUAACGAGCAAUGUCCCUUUUACAUCUACUUACAGUGUGUUUUUCUUUUGGUUUCACCACAUUUUUAGGUUUUUACAGGUUGUGUAUAGCAUAGGAGGCAUUGAGGAUGAAACAUGAAUGUCCAUUGUUCUUGUCCGCUCCUGAUCUCAGUAGACCUGUGUGAUGUGCUCUUGAUCCUUUCUCUUUUUUCUGUUAAAUGAAUCUCUGACUGAGGAGAGCAUGUUCUUUCAUUCGGUUGCAAUCGUGAAACUUCUUUUGGGUUUUCUUAUUGUACAGUACGAACAUUCCAAAUUAUUUGAUCCUGGAAAUAAGUUGCCAAUUUUCUGUGUGCAAUGAGCUGGGAGCCGGGGUCAGCCCUCUCACCACCAGUCGAACAUACAACUUCAGCCACCAUGUCAAGUGAUAUAAAAGUGUUCUCUGUUUCAUAGAGCAACGACACGAGAUUGUGUCCCCUCUUGCUCCUGGUGCAUGUUGCUGCCCUCCUUUCCCCUCUGACUUGACUUGCUUUACAUUGUGUGAAGUAGUUUACUUUCAACUUUACAACGCUAUAUCAAGUUCGCAACUGUACUUGGCUACACCUAUAACAUGAUGCAUUUCUCUUACAGUUUAUUGAAUAUAUUUUUAAGGAUUGAAUGUUCUAUCUGGUACUGUCCUAUCACUCAUUUAACUAUCUUAAUUUGUUCACAAAACUCCUUCUGUAGCUAAGAUUUCUUUGUACAACACAUACUAAUUAUUGCUCUUAUUCUUAAAUCUUAUUUCACUUUAUUCAGCUGCAGGCUGGGUUAAGAUUGUUUUUGUGCCAGAAACAGGCUAGGCAUUGCUCUAACCUUGGCAGCAAAAAUCGUCUAAAUUUCAUAAAUAAGGUAGUGGAAUAUCUUUGAAUAUGUUCAUUUAAAUAUCUUGAGUUCACCUGUAUGGGUUGCUUCUGUGCACACUUUCUUUGAUAUGACUUUCUAGGUGAGAAAUUCUUUCAUGGUAAUGAUGUAUUAUCGAUAUUUACUAUGUUUCUUAGGCCUAUAGGUUUCUUUUUGUGGGAUGCAAUUACGGUACAAUAUGAAUAUGAUCCUCGAGUUGCAUAUUAUUGCCUUUGGACAUAGACAUGUGCCAUGUAGUAUAACAUUUACAAAGAAUGUCUUGGAGAUUGCAAGUAGAUGAUUACGGUUACCCUGUAACCUUAGGAGUAAGAUAUAUAUGAUGAUAGAAUCUAGAGAUGCUUGCUAAUCUAUAACAAUAAGAUCCAGUCACGUGCAAUAUGUUUUAUUCAUAGAAACAGGGAAUCAAUCUGGCUGAAAGUAGUCAUCUUAUGGCGUGGUGUGAAGAGGUUGUUCACAAACCUCUUACGUGCUCCAUCCUUUGUCACUCUGAUUUGAUUUCCUAAUAUCUGGCUUCUCUGAACAGAUGUGUGCAGAUCUGAGAAAGAAGAGGAAUAAUCCAGCAGAACAAUUUAGUGAAUAAGAACAAGUUGGCAUUUCUCUCUUGUGAAUGCAGUCAUGCCUGCCUAUUGAUUUUAUUAUUUGUGCUAAUGCAAACAUGAAUUCUCUAUAGUUCUUGAUGCAGCACCGCUAAUUACUCAAUCUGCAAUACAUGAUUAUUUCUGGGAGAAGUUUAGUGCAUGAAUUAGCAUUCUGUAAAGUUAGUCUAAGCUCAUGUCUCUAGGCCAGGAUAGAUUUCUCAAUAUCAUUUUUGGGGUUGUUUGAACACUGAACAACAUUGCCAGGUCAACCAUUUCUCAUUUCUUUGUCAUAUCUGUAAAACAUUGACACACCAAGUUUACGGGUGGUGUCUCAAUUUUGUCACCAGCCACUUUCACCGACCCGUAAACUAUCUGUCUCGAGGUCUCCCCAACUGUGUUUGGGUUUAGAAAAACAAAGAACUAUUUUGAAGUCAUUUUCGCAUCAGCUACUUUGUAGGUAUUAUGUGCGUUGUCAGGGAUCUAAUAUCAUGUAGUUCCAGGGAUUUCAGAAGGUCUGGUCAGUCCAUUGUUCUUGCCGUGUGUUACUUUUUCUCAUUACUGUGAUCGUCAGUGCUCUUGACAUCGGUUACUUUUUCUCAUUACUGUGGUCGUCAGUGCUCUUGACAUCGGUUACUUUUUCUCAUUACUGUGAUCGUUUGUGCUCUUGACAUCGGUCGUUCUUGCUUUAUGGUUGCCUUCCCAGUGCACGUUUAUUAGUUCUAACAUAUUAAUGUUAAUAUGCUUGAUUGACCAUAUUAUAUAUUUCACUUCACCGGGGUGGUUGGUGGAAGUGUUGGUUAAAACAAUGUCUCUAAUUAACAAGUUUAUACAGUUGAAUCUUCUUGAUUGACUAUUUUGUAGCUUGCUCUUAGUUGUAUAGUAUUAAUUCUUAAAACUGGAUCUCUUAAAAUUAGUUAAAUUGAACGAGUUGUUUCACUGUUUUGAAAUAAGUAGUUUCAUCCGUCACUGUGUCCUGAAUUUAUUCUUACUGCCUUUUAUGACUUAAAUGUAACUACUGGCAUAUAAUCUCAUGGCUUAAAAUCUUAGUUGAGAAGGUAUUAAAAGUUAUAAGAUCUGGAGUUUCCACUAUUUCAUCCAGCGGUAUUCCCAGUAACUGAAUAUUAAGAGCACUGACGAUCAUAGGUUGUACAUUUAGUUACCGGGAAAUGCUUUUAUCUUGCAGGCCAGUUUUACAUUUACUUUUUCAAUAAUGAGAUGACUAUGAACAGAGUAUCAAGUUUUUUGCCUUGGCAUUACUGCUGCUGUGUACGGAUGGUUACUGAAAGAAGAAGGAUUCAAGCGGCAUACCUUCACUUGACAGAUGCUUUAACCGCAAGAACUGUUGUUAUUUUCUUUUCCUUUCCUACAUUGAUGGUAGUUCGCCUUUGAUUCUAGAAGUCGCAAAGGUGUGAAGGGUAGAGAUUUCCAUUGCCGUUGAAUUGGUGGGAUUGUCACCAAGUUAGUGUUGCAGAUUGUUUCUAUUUUAGAGCAAGAAGCCAAAUCAUGUUGUUCAUUGUAAAUCUUGAAAAACUUGUUUACUGUCACUUCUAUAUCUAUUGUAAACUUUCGUUCCUGGUGUGGUACUUACCAAUCUUGGUGUGCCCUUCCAUUGCAGCAGACCAAUAUGUCCUUGUUUCUUCAAAAAAAAAAAAAAUCUCAUUUCAAGUUUGCACCUCUAUUAUAGUAGAACAUGUCAUAAACAUGGCAUUGGG
rnacentral:lncRNA from 1 species